GGGUAUGUGGAAGUCAUUGCCAACAGGAGAAACACUUCACAAGCCAGACAAACCCCAUUCCAGGACCUGAGCGACCUAUUGUUAUCCUUAGAGGACUGGGUGGGUGCCAACCCAAUGACAUCAUCAACAAAAAGCUGGGGAGGGAUGACCCACCACCAGAGGGCUUUGGAGGGGGUGGGGGUAGCAGGUUCUUCCUCCACCUGCUGCAGCUACCAGCCAACCUCCAGCCCUGAGCUGGACUCAGACAUAGUCAGUCGAGUCCACAUCACAGAGGAGCUCACAGAGCGCGGCCCUGAGCCGACUGGCUGUCAUAGAGAACCGCAUCCGAAAUUGUCAACAGGCCAGGGACGGACCAGCGAUGUUGGCUGAUAGGAGUAUACCAACAGCCCCCCAGGAGAAGGAGAAGCCCCUGCCUGCCCAGUCCAGCAGUGACCUCAGCAUGAAGGAAACGCUUCCUGAAGAAGAGAGUGCAUGUAUCACCUAUACCUGCUGUAGCGCCAAAGGAGAAAAGCCUGGAUCUUGAUGCCAUGCCAUAGGGUAGUUCCAAACCCGGUACUCCAAUAAGGGUGGCCGGUAGAGGUAUGACUCUAGACAGUGAUGAGGAGGAUAUGAGGAAGCUCCUGGGGGGCUCUUUUGAGUCGUCAGUGUAUAGCCUGCACAAAGAAGCAAGAGAAUCCUCACAGAUGACAACUAGAAAGUUGUUCAUCAAAAGCAGCCAGGUUUCCCCCUCACCUCCACUGGCAGACCGAUCAUCGUCAGUCAGAGCCCAGUCCCGCUCUCCACCCUCUCCUCCGUGCAGCGGAUCACCCAGUCGCUUCUCCAGCCGAGCCCUGGACCAACGCAGUCCUCUCUCCAUCCGCAGUGCCUCAGUAGUCCUCUCUCCAUCGCCCUAUCCCCCCCUACGCCCCCUCCCCAGGCAGUCAGGGCUCCACACGGGCCAGGCACCUCAAACCCUCCCGGUCCUCAGUGUCAGCCCUCAGUGAGGUGUGCUCCCUGGUGGAGCUCUUCUCUGAGGCCCUGGAUGCUCUGGCGGAGCUCUUCUCUGAGGACCUGCCCUCCAAUGAUGCCGUCAGUGAGAGAAGUGGAGUCUCUGAUGAAUUCAACAUUAAUAUUUUGUCACUGGACGACCUCGCACCGGUCACGCUUGGAAUGUCGGAGAAAACAAACAACAACAAAAAAGCCAGUGGUACUGGAGGUGUGAGGAGAGGAUCCCAUCAGUAGAGCCUAGGGAGGACUACAAGAGUGACAUUGAGAGUGAGAUCAAGACUGAAACAGACAGGAGUAGUGUCAGCGAGAUCUCCGAGCACCUGGGAGACAGAGAUGGGGACAAAGACGCGUUGGAGGUCAGCAAGGUCAUGGACUACAGCGUCUCAGACACAUCUUGGAGCGACAAGUACUCCAGUGUCUCGGAGAAGGACAGUCAGUCCCACAUCACCCACACAGACUACAGUAGAAUCGCUGAUUCAUUCAGUGGCAGCAGGGCUUUCUAUUCCAGAUCAUCUCGCUCCCACUCUGUGGCUGAAACGAUCAUGCCGUCUCAAGUUUUGAAGAGACGCUGGCCCAGGUGUGUGAGAGAGGCCCCGGUGCAGACCCAACCAGACGGACUGGCCUUCACCUGGUCAGCGGUGCAGACCCAACCAGACGGACUGGCCUUCACCUGGUCAGCGGUGCAGACCCAAC
rnacentral:lncRNA from 1 species